rnacentral:rRNA from 1 species
GACGAACGCUGGCGGCGUGCUUAACACAUGCAAGUCGAACGGAAAGGCCCUGCUUUUGUGGGGUGCUCGAGUGGCGAACGGGUGAGUAACACGUGAGUAACCUGCCCUUGACUUUGGGAUAACUUCAGGAAACUGGGGCUAAUACCGGAUAGGAGCUCCUGCUGCAUGGUGGGGGUUGGAAAGUUUCGGCGGUUGGGGAUGGACUCGCGGCUUAUCAGCUUGUUGGUGGGGUAGUGGCUUACCAAGGCUUUGACGGGUAGCCGGCCUGAGAGGGUGACCGGCCACAUUGGGACUGAGAUACGGCCCAGACUCCGACGGGAGGCAGCAGUGGGGAAUAUUGCACAAUGGGCGGAAGCCUGAUGCAGCAACGCCGCGUGCGGGAUGACGGCCUUCGGGUUGUAAACCGCUUUCGCCUGUGACGAAGCGUGGGUGACGGUAAUGGGUAAAGAAGCACCGGCUAACUACGUG